rnacentral:rRNA from 1 species
AUUGAACGCUGGCGGCAGGCCUAACACAUGCAAGUCGAACGGUAACAGGAAGAAGCUUGCUUCUUUGCUGACGAGUGGCGGACGGGUGAGUAAUGUCUGGGAAACUGCCUGAUGGAGGGGGAUAACUACUGGAAACGGUAGCUAAUACCGCAUAACGUCGCAAGACCAAAGAGGGGGACCUUCUGGCCUCUUGCCAUCGGAUGUGCCCAGAUGGGAUUAGCUAGUAGGUGGGGUAACGGCUCACCUAGGCGACGAUCCCUAGCUGGUCUGAGAGGAUGACCAGCCACACUGGAACUGAGACACGGUCCAGACUCCUACGGGAGGCAGAAGUGGGGAAUAUUGCACAAUGGGCGCAAGCCUGAUGCAGCCAUGCCGCGUGUAUGAAGAAGGCCUUCGGGUUGUAAAGUACUUUCAGCGGGGAGGAAGGGAGUAAAGUUAAUACCUUUGCUCAUUGACGUUACCCGCAGAAGAAGCACCGGCUAACUCCGUG